rnacentral:ncRNA from 2 species
ACGCGUUCCCAGGGGGGCCUCGCUAGGAGGCUGAGAUUCCGCCCGUCCAGCGAUGCCGGACAACGCGGUGACCCUCCGAACCUGAUCCGGUUCAUACCGGCGUAGGGAUGCGGGACAUCGGUGCGG